rnacentral:rRNA from 1 species
AUGCCUACCGCAGCAGCCGCGCCGUCCGCAGCGCUAGCGCCGCCCGCGCCACCCGCAAGCAUGGGUGAAGGAAGCUUGGACGUGGAAGGCUUCAUCGUCAUGGAGCCCUUUUUCUUGGGCGCCAUGGAAGGUGAUGAUGAUGAUCUUGAAGAAACUGGCGCGCUAACUGCUAGACCAGAUUUGCACAGCCUCACGCCCCCUACCUGGCGCGUCAAAGAUGUCGGGGAACGACACCUAUGGGAUCCCGGGGAUCCCUUCUAUGGUUGGCGGGGCGUGGAGCUGCGCAAAGAGCAGAUCUAG